UGCGUAGGGUGCGAGCGUUAAUCGGAAUUACUGGGCGUAAAGCGUGCGCAGGCGGCUUUGCAAGACAGAUGUGAAAUCCCCGGGCUUAACCUGGGAACUGCAUUUGUGACUGCAUGGCUGGAGUGCGGCAGAGGGGGAUGGAAUUCCGCGUGUAGCAGUGAAAUGCGUAGAUAUGCGGAGGAACACCGAUGGCGAAGGCAAUCCCCUGGGCCUGCACUGACGCUCAUGCACGAAAGCGUGGGGAGCAAACAGG
rnacentral:rRNA from 1 species